rnacentral:lncRNA from 1 species
UGUGCACCACCCUCUCACCCAAACGAAGGCAGCUGGCCCUGAAGUUCUCUGAGCUUGAGGACAAAAAAAGACCUCUGUGAGUUGUCAGGCUCUGUUACAGUCUGGGUCAGCAGACAAGAGUCCCAGGGCUCGGCCGUCUUCUCUAGGAGAGAAAAUAUUCGUGCCAUAUAGCGUGUUCUAAGAGUUCUCACCAGAAGCCCAGAAAGUUCUGUAUUUACUCAGCAUUCAAGGGAAAACAGACCCUGUAUUUUUGGGAUUCCUGAAAGGUGACCAGAGGAAUAUCCACAGAAGCAGAAGUAGGAAUGGGGAAGGAGGGGACAAGUUUAGACCAAGCUCUUCUGUGACCUCACUUCUGCUUUUGAAGUCCCACAGCUCUAUAAGACAGGAACACUUGGUAUUUCUCGGUGUCUGUGAGGUGAGUCAUGCAUUUUAUAGGCGCAGAAAUUGAAAGAGGAGUGACUUGCGUAUGGUCAGAGAGCAAGUCCAAGACUACGGUGAGUCCAGCACCACAGGGCCACCCAGAACUACUUGGCCUGCUGCCCAUCCUCUUGUCUCUCCACUGCACUAGGCAUAAAUGUCAGUAAAGAAAGCAAGUGUGGCCCAUUGAGAGAAAAUGUGGCACAAGCCAAGAGUUCACAGCACUUGAAGUGGUAAAGGCAGAUCCAGGUUGAGGCUCUGUUCUGCCCAGUUUAUGAUGAAAUACUGAUAGUGGAUUUCUUCCUUUUCACCUGUUCCUGCCCCACUUGCCUGUCAAAGUCAGCCAGCACACUUUCCUCAGCAAAUGGGUGGUAGGUUCUGGGCAAAACAAUGUUAUAAUAAAAACAGAAAAGGUAAACCAUG